rnacentral:rRNA from 1 species
AUUGAACGCUGGCGGCAUGCCUUACACAUGCAAGUCGAACGGUAACAGGCCGCAAGGUGCUGACGAGUGGCGAACGGGUGAGUAAUGCAUCGGAACGUGCCCAGUCGUGGGGGAUAACUGCUCGAAAGAGCAGCUAAUACCGCAUACGACCUGAGGGUGAAAGCGGGGGACCGUAGGGCCUCGCGCGAUUGGAGCGGCCGAUGUCAGAUUAGCUAGUUGGUGGGGUAAAGGCCUACCAAGGCAACGAUCUGUAGUUGGUCUGAGAGGACGACCAGCCACACUGGGACUGAGACACGGCCCAGACUCCUACGGGAGGCAGCAGUGGGGAAUUUUGGACAAUGGGCGCAAGCCUGAUCCAGCAAUGCCGCGUGCAGGAAGAAGGCCUUCGGGUUGUAAACUGCUUUUGUCAGGGAAGAAAUCUUCUGGGCUAAUACCCCGGGAGGAUGACGGUACCUGAAGAAUAAGCACCGGCUAACUACGUGCCAGCAGCCGCGGUAAAAC